GAUGAACGCUGGCGGCGUGCCUAAUACAUGCAAGUCGAACGAACUUCCGUUAAUUGAUUAUGACGUACUUGUACUGAUUGAGAUUUUAACACGAAGUGAGUGGCGAACGGGUGAGUAACACGUGGGUAACCUGCCCAGAAGUAGGGGAUAACACCUGGAAACAGAUGCUAAUACCGUAUAACAGAGAAAACCGCAUGGUUUUCUUUUAAAAGAUGGCUCUGCUAUCACUUCUGGAUGGACCCGCGGCGUAUUAGCUAGUUGGUGAGGUAAAGGCUCACCAAGGCAGUGAUACGUAGCCGACCUGAGAGGGUAAUCGGCCACAUUGGGACUGAGACACGGCCCAGACUCCUACGGGAGGCAGCAGUAGGGAAUCUUCCACAAUGGACGCAAGUCUGAUGGAGCAACGCCGCGUGAGUGAAGAAGGGUUUCGGCUCGUAAAGCUCUGUUGUUAAAGAAGAACGUGGGUAAGAGUAACUGUUUACCCAGUGACGGUAUUUAACCAGAAAGCCACGGCUAACUACGUGCCAGCAGCCGCGGUAAUACGUAGGUGGCAAGCGUUGUCCGGAUUUAUUGGGCGUAAAGCGAGCGCAGGCGGUCUUUUAAGUCUAAUGUGAAAGCCUUCGGCUCAACCGAAGAAGUGCAUUGGAAACUGGGAGACUUGAGUGCAGAAGAGGACAGUGGAACUCCAUGUGUAGCGGUGAAAUGCGUAGAUAUAUGGAAGAACACCAGUGGCGAAGGCGGCUGUCUGGUCUGCAACUGACGCUGAGGCUCGAAAGCAUGGGUAGCGAACAGGAUUAGAUACCCUGGUAGUCCAUGCCGUAAACGAUGAUUACUAAGUGUUGGAGGGUUUCCGCCCUUCAGUGCUGCAGCUAACGCAUUAAGUAAUCCGCCUGGGGAGUACGACCGCAAGGUUGAAACUCAAAAGAAUUGACGGGGGCCCGCACAAGCGGUGGAGCAUGUGGUUUAAUUCGAAGCUACGCGAAGAACCUUACCA
rnacentral:rRNA from 1 species